ACUCCUACGGGAGGCAGCAGUGGGGAAUAUUGCGCAAUGGGGGAAACCCUGACGCAGCGACGCCGCGUGGGUGAUGAAGGCUCUCGGGUCGUAAAGCCCUGUCGGAGGGGAAGAACCGUACCGACUUAAUACGUCGGUGCCUGACGGUACCCUCUAAGGAAGCACCGGCUAACUCCGUGCCAGCAGCCGCGGUAAUACGGAGGGUGCAAGCGUUGUUCGGAAUCACUGGGCGUAAAGGGCGCGUAGGCGGUCUGUUAAGUCUGAUGUGAAAUCCCUCCGCUCAACGAGGAACUGCGUCGGAUACUGGCAGACUCGAGUACCGGAGAGGAAGGUGGAAUUCCCGUGUAGCGGUGAAAUGCGUAGAUAUCGGGAGGAACACCCGUGGCGAAGGCGGCCUUCUGGACGGAUACUGACGCUGAGGCGCGAAAGCGUGGGGAGCAAACAGG
rnacentral:rRNA from 1 species